UAGGGAAUCUUCGGCAAUGGGGGCAACCCUGACCGAGCAACGCCGCGUGAGUGAAGAAGGUUUUCGGAUCGUAAAGCUCUGUUGUAAGUCAAGAACGGGUGUGAGAGUGGAAAGUUCACACUGUGACGGUAGCCUACCAGAAAGGGACGGCUAACUACGUGCCAGCAGCCGCGGUAAUACGUAGGUCCCGAGCGUUGUCCGGAUUUAUUGGGCGUAAAGCGAGCGCAGGCGGUUUGAUAAGUCUGAAGUUAAAGGCUGUGGCUCAACCAUAGUUCGCUUUGGAAACUGUCAAACUUGAGUGCAGAAGGGGAGAGUGGAAUUCCAUGUGUAGCGGUGAAAUGCGUAGAUAUAUGGAGGAACACCGGUGGCGAAAGCGGCUCUCUGGUCUGUAACUGACGCUGAGGCUCGAAAGCGUGGGGAGCGAACAGGAUUAGAUACCCUGGUAGUCCACGCGUAAACGAUGAGUGCUAGGUGUUGGAUCCUUUCCGGGAUUCAGUGCCGAAGCUAACGCAUUAAGCACUCCGCCUGGGGAGUACGACCGCAAGGUU
rnacentral:rRNA from 1 species